UGUUCUUGUGUUUAAAAUCUUAACGUCAUGCAAUAAGGUUUGUUUUUCAUUGGUGUAUAUUUGGUUUUAGUCAGCGUUAGGUUGCGCUUUUCUGCGCAAACGAAUUUUGCCGAUGCGACUUAUAAAAUUGCUCGUACUGUAUACGAUGUGAU